UUUCUCAGCGUGUGGUCGAAUUCUUUGUACAGUGAACUGACCGAAGUUCCUCAUAAAAACGUUUCAAUUGUAUUAAUCUAAACGUUGGAAGAUCUGAGUGGACUGCUAGUAACCAUGGAUGAACGAUUAUACCAGUCAAGUGUUUAAAUGCAAACUUAAUUUAUUGUGUCUCCAACGUUUGCUGGUUAAAAGUCCCGUCUACAUCAAGGUGUUGUUUACCUACGCCAGUCACUAUAACUAUCAAUGCGGAUGUUUUUAUAGUGUUUUACAACGUUUAUUGGUUACAAGUCCCGCCUACGUUAAUGUACCUGCGGCAAUCAUUAUAGCUGUUAAUACGGAUGUUUUUUUUCUCUAAAACGUCUGUUGGUUACCAGUCCUGACUAUACAUCAAGGUGUAUAGUGUUCCUACAUCAAAUUCACCACAGCUGCAUCAUCGCAGCUACAACUGACGUUGUCACUAGAACGCGUAUGGUGUCAGUGUGUAGAAUUUUCAACGGUUGUUGGCAGUCUGCUCCACAGAAAUAAUAUUUCCAUCUAGAAUUUCCAAACGAGAAUUCCCAACAAGGAUUUCCAGCAUGCGUUGUCCUUGCUCCUUCAGAGAGAGAAUUUCUAAAGAGAAUGAUCGACUUUUGCUGUCACUCUGCCUUACGGACUUUGUCUAAGACAGCUGUUGAAGAGAUUCGUGAAAAACUCCAAGAUGUUAUACCCGGAAAGUUUUGAAGGAAUACUUUGCUGAUAACAGAGGACAAUACUGUGAGGAUGUACCAUAGUGAUCACCAUGAUUAGUAUUCACAGGACAGAAAAAUGCAAGAGAGGACAGCCCACACCUCCAGUUUGAUAUGCAGUGACCGGUACACCUAGAUUAGGCCACCGUGAACCGAAACACCUGGAGAAAAACUCAAUGAAUUGGGACCACUGGAAACUAUCCCUGCCUCCAUACAGAUACAUUCUGCACCUCGUUCUACAGACAACAAUAACGUAUCUUAACCAUAUUAAAGAACCAGAAGAAUGCAAUGCAAAGGAAUACACCGCUUUGCACAAUGGCAGGAGAUUAGAAUCAAGCACAUCAUGCAAUUUAACAGUGAUGCAUAAGCUCUAUUUUAAGAGUACUCUUAUGAACAAUCAAUCGUAUUAAUUCCAACCUUUUUCUGUUAUAGCCGUGAUUAUACACUUACAUGAUUUAACUGGAUUAGUGCAUUUCUUUCAAUAGAUUUAAUUUUUUUUCCAAAUCCUAUACCUGAGGGUAGAGACAAGAAUAGAGAAGGAGCACUAUUGAUCACAACACCAAACUGAUCAAUGCGACUGUGUGAUCAGAUGGAAAAAUAGCAAGAUGAGGUUCAGACCACACCACAGACCAUGACAUUAUUUUAAGAUAUACAGAAUAGAUAGGUACACCUGGGACAUAUCUAUUUAGAUAUUUUCACCUCCAAAGGAUACAUUCUGAAAUUUUGAGAUAUACAGAAUAGGAAGGAUACGUCUCGGGUCAACCAACAGAACAGAACUGGAUAACAGGCAUGGAGAAGACAAGGAUUACUCGUAGGCGUCUGACCAAGACACAGACUAGCUGCUUGUGUAGCAAUAACGAAAUAAAACGCAGAUGAGAGAGAACACGGGAAAGAACCGUCUAGCAGCUUGAAUUAGAAGCUAAAAACAUUAAAUCGAGAAAAUCUAAAAGAGCCGCCAUCAAACACUACAGUCAAACCAUAUUAGAUAUAAUUCGCUCACAAGGAAGAGGACAUGUAUCAUAAACCUAAAGACCCUAUUCGACAGAAUUACAUAUUUAUUAGAAUUCCGACACACCUGUUAAAGAAAAUGAGAUGAUAGAACUUUAUGAACUAAUAGUAGAACUCAUAUUUAUUAAAAUUCUGACAAAACCUGUUAACAAAAAUGAGAUGAUAGAACUUUAUGAACUAAUAAUAGAACUCAUAUUUAUUAGAAUUCUGACAACAUGCUAACGAAAAUGAGAUGAUAGAACUUUAUGAACAUAAGAAUUUGAUAAUGAUCCGGAUUCACGCGCAGGACAGCUCUGGUGUGAAUAACUUAUUGAAGAUGACGAUGAUAUUAUCAGAACAUAGCCAUUGGUGGGACUGACCACUUAAGACUCACGUACCAGGGAACUUCAUAAGACUUAGAACACACCUUUAAACACUUUUUACCUGGCCAUACCUUGAGGAACUACAAACUACGAAAAUGCACUAUAUGAAACCAGAAGACAUGUUGGAAUAUUUCCGAGGAGAAUGGGACAGUCAUUUGAGGAUACGUAGUUCCAUCCACAGACGUCAAGGCAGGGAUACAAAACCAGCAUGCAGAUGUCAUGGAGAGUGAGCAUAUCCAUACCAUUGUAAUUAACAACUUAAAUAUUUACCAUACUCACAUGUAAGUAAUAAUAUUGAAUAUUUACUGUGUCAUGUUGUCAUGAAUUCAAAUGUAAGAAGUAAUAUGGGCUUGAUAAAGUUUGGAUAAUAUUCAUUGUCGCAGAAUAAUAUACCAAUUAUAACCAUGAUGAUGGAUAGUUUGUAUCUUGCAUUAAAUUGGGGAAUAUUGUCGCUAAUAAUCAUCUUACAAUAAAUGUUAUUAAUUUGAGUAAUAGUCACUGAAAAUCACCUUGUAUUAAAUUUUUUUUCUCUAUUUCUCUAUACGACAAAACACGGGGUUAAUUCAUAAAGGAAAUUGUUAUUGCAAUAAAUGUAAUAACACCGUAAGAAUAGGACGAUUGAGAAUACAACGGCCAACACCCAAUGAUCUUUUGAGAAUAUAACACCAACACCAUCAUGUUGAUCUUCGUGAAUGCAACACCAUUCCUGUUAAUUGUAACAAGACAGCAUGUAGAGGACAGAUAAUCUCACAAUUCGUUGUCGAAAGUUGAACGGAAAUCAUUGGCAGCAAAGCAGUUCCUGAGAGAUGAGAUAUUGGCAAGAAAGAAAGGAAGUAUUAGCAUUGGUAGCAGUUGGCAGCAAGCAAAGCAGUUUUGAAGAGACUGUUCUGGGGAGACACGAAUCACAAUUGGGAAGCAAGAAGUGUAUAUGGAAUAUGGACCUCAUGCAGCAAAGCAGUUCUGAAGAGACACGAAUCUUCACAGACCCAGUGGCAGUGUACUUGGGACUCAGAACAUGGGACUUCCUGACUUCAUUCUUGAAGAGGCAAGAAGGAUCAUCCCACAGUAGUCUAUGGAACUCAUUGCCAGCAAGCAGUGAAGAGACGAAUCUAUACAGAUACAAGGAACUUCAUAACUUCAUUCUUGAAGAGUCAUUACACUAUUACACUAUAUGGAACUGGAACUCUGGAACUGGAACUAAACUCUGUCUGCAUUGAGCGACAGUCUGAAGAGACAUGAAUCUAAAGAGACACGAAUCUACACAGCACACAUUUGAGACCAGCAUAACAUAUAGGUUAAAAAUCCAUUGGACAGAUUUCAGUCGUCAUUUCUUAGCAUACACUCCACGACCGCAGUUGUGCACCACUGAUUCACUGUGUCUGAACAGGGGAGACAGUGAUCAUACAUCUCAACCUGCAGUAAGACGUCAACCUAUAGGGGAUUCCCUCCGAAAUUCAAGUAUACCGAGGAAACGGCUGUCUAUGAAUCUCCCUGACGACAAAUUAGUCAAAUUUGUACUUUAGUUUUCGUCAACAUAUAGGGGAUUCCCUCCGAAAUUCAAGUAUACCGAGGAAACGGCUGUCUGUAUGAAUCUCCCUGACGACAAAUUAGUCAAAUUUGUACUUUAGUUUUCUACAACCAUCUACACUAGUUGUAACACAUGUAAUCUACCUCACGACAAAAUUAGUCAAAUUUGUACUUUAGUUUUCAAAACUGUGUACAACCAUGUACACUAGUUGUAACACAUGUACAACAACCAUAUUAGGAACACACAGAAGAAAGCAAGUAGGGUUUGUAUACAAAGAAGAAGUAAUACAAAUGAUUGUGAUGAACUGAUUAGUCUAGAGUCUUUAUGUUUUUGUCAGGUACGUACUUGCUUUGCUUAAUACUUGCGUUAAACUUUUGUGCUUAAGUUCCUGAUGUAUCACAGAACGUUUCUAAGCGGAAUAUUAGAUUAAAUUUCAUUGUGUCAAAUGCAUUUGAUUAAUAAAAAUUCUAGAAUCCUUAAAGGCUCUAUAUAGGCAGUAAACUGUAACUGUUAUUGGAUAGUAAUGAAAUAAAACUUAUCAAAGCAG